GUGCAACAGCCGGCAAACUUUCUUUUUGCAACAACGCMUUAGCGGAGCCUCCCACUGACAGGUCCUAAAWGCUGGGCSUUCMAAUAGUUUAAAAACCUUUUUAAGAAAGGGCCGGGCAAGACCGGUGCCAGCCGCCGCGGUAAYACCGGCGGCUCGAGUGGURACCRCUAUUAUUGGGCCUAAAGGGUCCGUAGCCGGUUUGAUAAGUCUCUUGGGAAAUCUGCCGGCUUAACCGGUAGGCGUUCCAGGGAUACUGUCAGGCUAGRGRCCGGAAGAGGUGAGAGGUACUYCAGGGGUAGGAGUGAAAUCCUGUAAUCCUUGGGGGACCACCUGUGGCGAAGGCGUCUCACCAGAACGGCUCCGACAGUGAGGGACGAAAGCUAGGGGCGCGAACCGGAUUAGAUACCCGGGUAGUCCUAGCCGUAAACGAUGCGCGCUAGGUGUWKSGGUGGCCCCGASCKUUCUAGGUGCCGAAGAGAAGCCGUGAAGCGAGCCGCCUG
rnacentral:rRNA from 1 species